rnacentral:rRNA from 1 species
AUUGAACGCUGGCGGCAGGCCUAACACAUGCAAGUCGAACGAGUGGCGGACGGGUGAGUAAUGUCUGGGAAACUGCCCGAUAGAGGGGGAUAACUACUGGAAACGGUAGCUAAUACCGCAUACUAUCGGAUGAACCCAUAUGGGAUUAGCUAGUAGGUGGGGUAAAGGCUCACCUAGGCGACGAUCGCUAGCUGGUCUGAGAGGAUGAUCAGCCACACUGGGACUGAGACACGGCCCAGACUCCUACGGGAGGCAGCAGUGGGGAAUAUUGGACAAUGGGCGCAAGCCUGAUGCAGCCAUGCCGCGUGUAUGAAGAAGGCCUUAGGGUUGUAAAGUACUUUCAGCGGGGAGGCGUUACCCGCAGAAGAAGCACCGGCUAACUCCGUGCCAGCAGCCGCGGUAAUAC